CAGUAGCCACGGGAAUACGUAGGUGGCAAGCGUUGUCCGGAAUUAUUGGGCGUAAAGGGCUCGCAGGCGGUUUCUUAAGUCUGAUGUGAAAGCCCCCGGCUCAACCGGGGAGGGUCAUUGGAAACUGGGAAACUUGAGUGCAGAAGAGGAGAGUGGAAUUCCACGUGUAGCGGUGAAAUGCGUAGAGAUGUGGAGGAACACCAGUGGCGAAGGCGACUCUCUGGUCUGUAACUGACGCUGAGGAGCGAAAGCGUGGGGAGCGAACAGGAUUAGAUACCCCUGUAGUCCCUGUCUCUUAUAC
rnacentral:rRNA from 1 species